rnacentral:rRNA from 1 species
GAAUAUUGGGCAAUGGAGGCAACUCUGACCCAGCCAUGCCGCGUGGAGGGUGAAGGCCCUCUGGGUUGUAAACUUCUUUUACGGGGGACGAAACCUUUUUAUUCUUAAAGGGUUGACGGUACCCUGGGACUAAGCACCGGCUAACUCCGUGCCAGCCGCCGCGGUAAUACGGAGGGUGCAAGCGUUAUCCGGAUUCACUGGGUUUAAAGGGUGCGUAGGCGGGCAGGUAAGUCCGUGGUGAAAUCUCCGAGCUUAACUCGGAAACUGCCGUGGAUACUAUCUGUCUUGAAUACUGUGGAGGUGAGCGGAAUAUGUCAUGUAGCGGUGAAAUGCUUAGAUAUGACAUAGAACACCAAUUGCGAAGGCAGCUCACUGCGCAGUGAUUGACGCUGAGGCACGAAAGCGUGGGGAUCAAACAGG